rnacentral:misc_RNA from 1 species
GAUGAAGAACGUAGCGAAAGGCGAUAAGUAAUGUGAAUUGCAGAAUUCAGUGAAUCAUCGAAUCUUUGAACGCACAUUGCGCCCGCCAGCAUUCUGGCGGGCAUGCCUGUUCGAGCGUCAUUUCAACCCUCGAGCCCCCCCGGGGGCCUCGGUGUUGGGGGACGGCACACCAGCCGCCCCCGAAAUGCAGUGGCGACCCCGCCGCAGCCUCCCCUGCGUAGUAGCACACACCUCGCACCGGAGCGCGGAGGCGGUCACGCCGUAAAACGCCCAACUUUCUUAGAGUUGACCUCGGAUCAGGUAGGAAUACCCGCUGAACUUAAGCAUAUCAAUAAGCGGAGGA